AUAGAGCUUCCAAAUCGACGAUCGGCACCGUUGAACAUGAUCUAGACCAUUUAAAUUAUCUAGAAAUCAAAUUUCAUGAUUUUUUGGCAUCACUAACUGAACGAUUAAAGGAUCACAAAAUCUAUAAUUUUAAUAGCCGAUAUGGUGCGUUUGCUCGUUUAACGGCAUAGAAGAGUUCAAAUCAACUAAAUUUUUGUUAAAAAAUUUUUUAAACUAUUUAAAAUAAGAUCUAGACUCUAGAUCUCAAAUAUAAAAAUUGUAUCAACACUUUUUGAAGGAUAUUCAUUUCCAGCCAUUCAUUUUUUUGUUCACUUGAUGGACAAGAGAACAAUAUCGAAAACGUGUAAAAUUUGAUUUUAAGAUAGUUUAAAUAGUUUAGAUCAUGUUUAACGGUGCCGAUCAUCAAUUUGGAAGCUCUAUCAUCGAAAACAAAUCGGUAGUAAACCGAGCCGUUUACUACGGAUAGUAUUCUAGCAAAACUAUAUAUAUAUAUAUAUAUAUAUAUAACAAUCCUAUGACUGAAUUUGAUCUUCUUAAAAUUAAGGGUUUGUUUGGUUCAAGGGUGCGUGGAAUUGGCAUGAAUAAUGAAAUGAGAAUGAAUUGGAAUGGUAAUUGGAUUGGCUCACUCCCCCAAAACGUUUGGUUCAUUUGCGGAUUGGAAAUUGGAAUGAGUUACUCACAUUUCAUUAUUUGGUUCGUAUAAACUAAAAAAUUAUAGAAUACUGUAAUACUAAUUUUACUCUCAAAUAUAAGUUUAUAUUAUUUAAAAUUUAUGAAAAAUAUAAUACUAUUCUUUAAUAAGUUUUCCAAAAAAAAUAACAAAUUUAUUUUUAAAAAUUUUUAUUGAUGUGGGUUAGGGAUAGGAUUUUGAGAGAUGAUAGAAUUUUUUUUUUUUUUUUCGAUGAGAGAGGGAUGAAGAGAUCGUAUAUAGGAGAGGAGGGUGAGAUGGUUGCAUUGGCCUUGAAAACUUAGUGGGCUUCCGGAAUGAAAUCUCAAUCCGGACUAGAAGACUGGAAUCAAGUUGAAGGCUAAUGGGCCAUUCCUAUUCCAGUUCGGAAUAGAAAUCUCAAACCGAUUCCUGCGAACCUAACAAAAUUAAUCGGAUUUGAUCAAACCGAUUUCCAUUCCAUAUCCAAAAUGGAUGAACCAAACAAGCUCUAAAUUCGACCUCAUAUACAU
rnacentral:lncRNA from 1 species